rnacentral:rRNA from 1 species
CCCUAUGGGGUGCACCAGGUAUCGACGUACCAGUUAUCGCGAUAAAACACGAGCUGUUGCGGGGAGACAAUUCGCUCAGAAUCCUCCCCAGUUUGCCGGCCGAAGUGGCGAAUCUUCAGCCGCAACCGGCGCAAUGUCGCUGUUGCUACCACCUCAAAGAACUGUGCAGCGACAUGUCGCUUGGCCGCAUGAACGAUCCGAAAACGUUUCUCGACUUCCUCAGCAGAGUGAUCAGCACUACCCAACAAAGCCUUCAGCCGAGUCUGAAGAGGCGGAAUGUGGCCGGCGAGAAGACCGGGUUCAAGGGUCGAUAGCAACGGCUGCAUCGUCAGUAGUGCGGAGACUUCGCCGGCGUUGAACCAGAGGCCAGGCAAUGAAUUGGCGGGAGGGC